CCAACGGCUAGCAAGCGUUGACGUGUGAGCUCCGCCGGUACGCGCACCAGAUCGAGUGUACCCGUGCACGAGGCGCCGGCCUGGAGUCGCGGUCGCUGCCGCAUGGCCCUGGCCUCCCUCGCGGCCUCGCUCCCAGUCGCCGCCACCGCCGCCGCGGUGAGAUUCCCAUUCCGUUUCCGCAUCGGUCGCGCCAUGGCCUCCGCCGCCGCAGGGGCCUCGCCGGCGAGGGUGGCCGUGGUACAGAUGACCUCCGUGGGGGACGUCGACGCCAACUACGCCACCUGCUCCCGCCUCACCAAGGAAGCAGCUGCUUCUGGAGUGAAAUUUCUUUGCUUCCCUGAGGUCUUCUCAUUCAUUGGAUCCAAGGAUGGCGAGGCUAUGAAGCUAGCUGAACCAUUAGAUGGGCCAAUAAUGCAGAGAUACUGCUCACUUGCAAAAGAAUCAAGCAUGUGGCUAUCUCUUGGGGGUUUUCAAGAAAAGGGACCUGAUGAUUCUCACCAGUACAAUACUCAUGUAUUAAUUGAUGACACUGGAAAAGUUAGGAGCUCAUAUCGAAAAAUACAUUUGUUUGAUGUUGAUGUACCUGGCAAUAUGGUGUACAAGGAAAGUCGUUUCACAGCCGCAGGUGAUACUAUUGUUGCUGUGGAUAGCCCUUUUGGACGGUUGGGGCUUACUGUUUGCUAUGAUUUGAGAUUCCCAGAGCUUUAUCAAAUUUUGCGUUUUAAGCAUCAAGCACAGGUAUUACUAGUGCCAUCUGCAUUCACAAAGAUAACGGGAGAGGCACACUGGGAAAUUCUCCUCCGAGCUCGUGCAAUUGAGACACAAUGUUAUGUUAUUGCUGCUGCUCAAGCUGGAAAGCACAAUGAAAAAAGAGAAAGUUACGGUGAUUCUAUAAUUAUUGACCCAUGGGGGACAGUGAUAGCUCGACUUCCAGAAAAAUGUGGUUGCAGAUCGGCUCUCCACUGGAUUUGCAGUUGCAGAUCUUGAUUUGUCAAAAGUUGAGGCUGUGAGAACUCGAAUGCCAAUUUCAGAGCACCGGAAGUUCGACAGCGAUUGGAAACCCACGCCUCUUUAGUAGCUGAGGGUUUAUUUUGUGUUUCCUAUGUUUAAUGUUAGCGUGGGCUACAAAGCUUUGAAUAGGUGUAAACGCUCAGAAAAAGGUGAAUUGGUCUAAACGCCCCCAAAAAAGAUAUAUAGUGGAAGGAUCAAAAUGUAUAAGAGGUGAAUUGUAUAAGAGGGAGGUGAUGAGUUAGUCUAAAUUUAUUUUGCACAAAUGACACCGAAUAUUCAUUAUACAUGUGACAUGAUAGAAAUCACAUGUAUAGCUUCAUCGUACAUUGUAUUGUUAUAGAACCAAUGUUCAUGAUAAAUCUUUCCUUGAA